CGCUCUGGUGGCCUAGUGGUUAGAGUGUCCACCUCUGAUGCGGGAGGUCGUGGGUUCAAUCCACAGUUGAGUCA